UUUCCGUAGGUGAACCUGCGGAAGGAUCAUUAUCGUUCAAAAUGUGAGGGGCAUGCGAGGGCUGUCGCUGACCCAAGAGUCGUGCACGCCCGAGUGUGUCCUCUUGCAUAAUAAUCCAUCUCACCCUUUGUGCAUCACCGCGUGGGCACCCUUCGGGAUCAUCUCGGAGGGGGGCUCGCGUUUUCACACAAACCCCCCUUUUAAAAGUGUAGAAUGACCACAUUUAUGCAAUCAAUACAACUUUCAACAACGGAUCUCUUGGCUCUC
rnacentral:misc_RNA from 1 species